rnacentral:tRNA from 1 species
GUCAGUGUUGCUCAGUGGUUAAGAGCAUUGGCUAGUGCACCAAAGAGUUGUGGGUUCGAUUCCCAGUCAAGGGCA